rnacentral:rRNA from 1 species
GACGAACGCUGGCGGCGUGCCUAAUACAUGCAAGUCGAACGCUUCUUUCCUCCCGAGUGCUUGCACUCAAUUGGAAAGAGGAGUGGCGGACGAGUGAGUAACACGUGGGUAACCUACCCAUCAGAGGGGGAUGACACUUGGAAACAGGUGCUAAUACCGCAUAACAGUUUAUGCCGCAUGGCAUAAGAGUGAAAGGCGCUUUCGGGUGUCGCUGAUGGAUGGACCCGCGGUGCAUUAGCUAGUUGGUGAGGUAACGGCUCACCAAGGCCACGAUGCAUAGCCGACCUGAGAGGGUGAUCGGCCACACUGGGACUGAGACACGGCCCAGACUCCUACGGGAGGCAGCAGUAGGGAAUCUUCGGCAAUGGACGAAAGUCUGACCGAGCAACGCCGCGUGAGUGAAGAAGGUGUUCGGAUCGUAAAACUCUGUUGUUAGAGAAGAACAAGGACGUUAGUAACUGAACGUCCCCUGACGGUAUCUAACCAGAAAGCCACGGCUAACUACGUG